rnacentral:rRNA from 1 species
GAUGAACGCUGGCGGCGUGCCUAAUACAUGCAAGUCGAACGCUGAAGCUCUAGCUUUCUUGAUCUAAGGAGUGGCGAACGGGUGAGUAAUACAUAAGCAACCUACCCACGAAAGCUUGGAUAAUCUCUGGAAACGGGGACUAAUACCGGGUAGAUAAUCGGAAGGCAUCUUCUGGUUAUUAAAGGUUAAAAAUACUGGUGGAUAUGCUUGUGUCGCAGUAGUUAUAUGGGGAGGUAACGGUCCACCAAUACAAUGAUGCGUAGCCGACCCGAGAGGGUGAGCUGCACGGCCACAUUUGGACUGCGACACGGACCACUCUCGUACGGGAGGCAGGAGUAGGGAACGCUCGGGACGGGGGGCAAACGUGACCGCGCCACGCCGGGUGAGAGAAGAUGGCGUUCGGGGUGUAAAGCUCUGUUGUAAGGGAAGAUCGGUAGAUAGCGAAUCACUAAGUGACGGUACCUUAUCAGAAAGCCACGGCUAACUACGUG